UGGGGAAUAUUGCACAAUGGGCGAAAGCCUGAUGCAGCAACGCCGCGUGAGGGACGACGGCCUUCGGGUUGUAAACCUCUUUAGCAAGGAAGAAGCGAAAGUGACGGUACUUGCAGAAAAAGCGCCGGCUAACUACGUGCCAGCAGCCGCGGUAAUACGUAGGGCGCAAGCGUUAUCCGGAAUUAUUGGGCGUAAAGAGCUCGUAGGCGGUUUGUCGCGUCUGCUGUGAAAACCCGAGGCUCAACCUCGGGCCUGCAGUGGGUACGGGCAGACUAGAGUGCGGUAGGGGAGAUUGGAACUCCUGGUGUAGCGGUGGAAUGCGCAGAUAUCAGGAAGAACACCGAUGGCGAAGGCAGAUCUCUGGGCCGUAACUGACGCUGAGGAGCGAAAGGGUGGGGAGCAAACAGGCUUAGAUGACCCU
rnacentral:rRNA from 1 species